CUCUCUCUCUCCCUUCCUCCCCACCUUUGGCUUAUGAAAAAACCCUACUUCACAUCAACAAGAGAGGAGUAUUUGUCACUUACCCAGAGCUGAGGGAGAACCGUUGGGUGGUGGCUGUGAGAUGAAGUGUCGAGCAGAUUUCUGGAAAAGGUGGGAAGAAAGUUCCCUCCGGGAUUCCUCAAGGCUUGGACCCUAAAGGCAGUCAAGUUCCUGUGGGAAAGGGAAGCGCCCAUGACUGGCACCGCGCCUGGCAGUUGCCACUAGUCCGCUAAACGCUGCGCAGCUGUUAUGGACGGAACCCCUGGUGCAAGCAGAGAGGGCCUUAACUCUGCGGCCAGAGAUUAUUUUUAAACCUAGGCUGAACUGUGUCACCGUCUCCAAGAACGAGAGCUCAGGCGUGCCUAGGGGAGCUGUCCUCCCUUGUCCCCGUGGGGGGGCCCUCCUAGCCCUAGUAAGCCGCUCCUACCGUGCCGCUAGGGGAGCCCUGGGACUCUCUCGCUAGGGCAGGGCCCUGGGGAAGGCAACAACUAGGCUGCUUUGCAGAGCUGAGCCGCCCAAGCAGUCACUUGAACGAGGCGGGAAUUUGUCAGCCGCUUUGGCAGCGCAGGUCCCUUCUGGGGGCAUUGGUGGAGACUAGGCCCGUCCGGCCGCCCUCCCUCCUCCUGCCUGCCUGGCUGCCGCUUCCCUGCACCCAGGACUGCGAGAUAGAGCGCUCCUGCAGCCGGCAGCUCCGAUGGAGCGCAGGCUCCGGGGUGCAAGGCCUCAGCUUGGCCUCGGGCCCAGUCAGCUCAGGCCCAGCUGCAUUGGCCUCGCUGCUGCUGCCCCUGCCGCCCAGGCGCCAGCGCAGGCCACACUCUCCGCCCAGGUGUCACUGGCCUUGGCCUGCUGCUUCUCACCCUCUCCUGCCCCACGCCUCCUGGGAUCUCUGGGCCCCAAGUGGUGGUUUGUCAUGCGAGGGACAAAGGGCUCUAGUCCCAUUCAUUUACUCGUUUAUUUAUUGUUUUGAGACAG
rnacentral:lncRNA from 1 species